rnacentral:lncRNA from 1 species
CUCAGAUUAGUCAACAACUGUACUAAAGAAGAGAUAUGUGGCACAACUGAAAAAUUCGAUAAGGAAGUAGAGAAUUAGCAUGACUGAGGAGGCUGAUACUACUGCUGCUGCAUCUACUGAAUGAUCUGUUGUUGAAACUGCUGGAACUGCUGAAGGAGCUACUCCUGGAACUGCUGCUGCUGGAUGGAAAGAAUGCCUACUAUCUGCUCGCUAGCAAUCCCAUCUCAUCCUCUCCCAAUCUAGAUGAUGAUGGCACAACAUGGCUUGUAGACGGAGGCGCACUAACUGAAGGAUCUGCCUUAGGCUCUGACACAAAAUGAAUAUCAAGAUUCGGUCUGGGCUCAGAUGGUGAUGAGGGACCCUCCCCCUCAGCACGCUCCUCCUCCUCCACAACUACAGCACCUCGAUCCUUGGUCCAACGACCAUCCACUCUAAUGAAACCCAUACGUCGAAGAAAAUGAUCAUUGUAAGUGUCAGUGUUCAGCAGUCUGCACAUAGCCUCCCCCUCAAAACUCACACCAAACUAUCUAAAAAUAACUGUCAUGGCCAAGCCUUGGAUCUAUUCAAGGCCUCCCUCAUGACAUCAAUCAUCAGAAACGGGAGAUUCAGCGGAGACUCAGAUAUAAUAUGGUGCAUUAGACAUAUAUCCCGUCCAGUCAUCAGGUCAUAUCUUCUCCCUCUGGGGAAGAAGAUUCUAGAGAUCAUGUGGUAGAGUAGUCUCAUCUCCACACUCAAGUCUUUUGCCUUUAUCUUCAUGAAACCUUCAACAUCAUUUCUCCCUAGGAUGGACCUGAGAUGGACCUGAGUCCAUCCUCUUUCCUGGGAAGCUCGUCAAGACAGCUUCUCUCAUAAGGUAUUUGAAGCAAUCUACCCAACCUUGUAGUAUUCAAGAUAAUCUCAACAUCCUUUACAACAUAUCUUAAAACUCUAUUAUUAAACACUAGAUUUGAGUAAAAUUCUUUAACUAAGUCUAUGUACACUGGCUCAGAUAAGCAACAGAAGAACAUCUAUCCUUGUUUAACUAUCUUCUCUCCAAUUGAAAAACUAUCUCUUUUUAAGAAAUCAAAAUCUAUAUUCCUCCCUAAAGCAAUUUUUCUGG